UACGAAGGGGGCUAGCGUUGCUCGGAAUCACUGGGCGUAAAGCGCACGUAGGCGGACUCUUAAGUCAGGGGUGAAAUCCUGGAGCUCAACUCCAGAACUGCCUUUGAUACUGAAGAUCUUGAGUUCGGGAGAGGUGAGUGGAACUGCGAGUGUAGAGGUGAAAUUCGUAGAUAUUCGCAAGAACACCAGUGGCGAAGGCGGCUCACUGGCCCGAUACUGACGCUGAGGCACGAAAGCGUGGGGAGCAAGCAGG
rnacentral:rRNA from 1 species